CAGGUAAGUAUUACUGCUUUGCUAUUUUAGGAUGCUGGCUACCAGAAGGAAAUUGGUCAACGGGAUGCUGACGUGUGGCUCAGAGUGAUUCAAAGAUGAGACUCAGGAUUUGGAAGGCAAAACAAACAACCAAACAAAUGAAAAGAGGGUUGAUUUUGGACCUCUGUGAAUGAUGCCAAAGCAAAGAAGAGAAAUAAAGGUCAGAGAGGAAGAGGCUGGUCAUGGAGGAGUGUUUAUUGAUGUGCCUGGAGCCAUAUCUUCAAUAACUCCUUAUGUCCUGACAACACCACGGUAGACUGGAGGUCAUUAGGACCCCUCUGCUGAUGAGGAGAAGGGUACUCUGGGGUCUGAGCAACUUGCCCAACUUUGUGCUGCUUGAAAGUGAUAGAAUGAGAGAACUGUAAGGCCAGACUCUAUUCAAAGCAGAAGCAUGUAAAUGUCUCCUGCGGUCUCCUGCCAAUGAAUGCUUGUCCAUUCUAUGUCUCAGUCAUUCCUCUCCUGACAGCAGGCUGUGUGCUUGCUUUCUCACGAGGGUGUCCUCCCGCUCCCAGCUACGCAUACAUGCCUAUAAAGACAUGAAAGGAAGAAAGGACAGACUCCUCAAAAGCCGCAGAAGCACACAGCGGAAGCUGCUUUUGUUGCACGCAGGCAGUGAUUCCUUUACACAAGGUGAUAACGCAGAUACCCAAGGUCUGAGACUCAGAGAGCUGUAGACCUGGGGAAGUGCCAGGGAAGGCACCGCCACCUCAAAAUAAUUCUGGACCCCUCUGUGCCUGUGAAUGGGGAUGUGUUUCUGAGUAUCCACUCUCCUCGCCAGGCUUCCUGGUCAUAGCCACAGGCAAGGAGGUGAGGAAGUCACUAGCCCUUCAGCAGUGCUGAGCGUAAAGAUCAGCCAUGAAGAUCCUUUACCAAAGUAAAAUGCAUAGACGUCACCUUGGAUACUCCGGGCUUCUCUAUUAAGUGGUAUCAUCAUUUUGGAGACAGCAUGGCCCUUCUCAAUUCUGAAAAGUCUCCUCGGGUGAAGUCAGGACUUCAGUGCUUUUGAACACUUGCUGUACUGUCAUUUAAACAGAACACAAGUUUUUGACCGCAUCCUUGGUAGACGUGGUGGUUUGGAGCUGUGGUUUUCUUAGGCUUUUUAUAUUCCUUUGCUUAUGAUUGCAUUCCUACCAAACGAUUCUGGAUCGUCUGUGUGCGUGUGUAGCAGUGACAAGGUUUUUAUUUAUGUACUUAGCAAGCAUAUUACAACGCAGACCUGGCUGGUGUGAAACUCAAUGCAUAGACCAGGGUGGCCUCACCCUCCGUAGAGAUCUGCCUGUCCCUGACUCACAAAUGCUGGGAUUAAAGUCUUGGACUAAUGUGUUCAUCAAGAUAUUCUAUUUAAGUGGCUACAUUUAAAAUUUAGGAUGUAAACUUCAAGAAUGACAAUUGCACAAUGUAUCCUAUAAGUGGUGAAAAUGGGGCUAAAAAUGAUAGAAAUACAGGGAUACUGUACUGUGUUAUUGCUAAACACUUCAGGCAUUUUAUAACUGCCAGCCCAUCGUUUGGGAACCCAAAGACAAAGAAAUUGACCUACCUUAUUUUACAUCAGUGAGAAGAAGGUUUAGCUUCUUAGUUGGAGAAGCUUAGGUUUCGUUGGAGUUACUAGGAGCUGACCGGCAGACACUCCUGGAAUCUGAAAGACACAAAGCUCAAACCUGUAGGAAGGCAUGAUAAAGGGUCCUCACUAUUGGAAGAGGUGAAUGGUCUCCCCUGGUCGUCUUUAAUAAGGGCACUGGUUUCAUUUCCAAGAUCUUCUCCCUCAUCAUCUCAGCAUCUCUCAAAGAUACCGCCUUCUAAUACUGUCAGCUUGGUGAGUGCCACGGUUAAUCUUGAUCAGACAACUGGGAUUAAGAAAUGCCUAGGGCUCAGUGAGACAGACCUCAGGGUGUGUCUGUGAUGACAUCUCCAGGGAUUCUGAGGAGGGCUCCGAGCUAACGAGUGGUUUAAUCUCUCAAUGAAUUCUUAAUCUGAUGGCAGUAUGCAGAAGGUGUGAA